rnacentral:rRNA from 1 species
UACGGAGGAUGCAAGCGUUAUCCGGAAUGAUUGGGCGUAAAGCGUCCGCAGGUGGCUGUGUAAGUCUGCUGUCAAAGAGCAAAGCUCAACUUUGUAAAGGCAGUGGAAACUACACGGCUAGAGUGCGUUCGGGGCAGAGGGAAUUCCUGGUGUAGCGGUGAAAUGCGUAGAGAUCAGGAAGAACACCGGUGGCGAAAGCGCUCUGCUAGGCCGCAACUGACAGCUCAUGGACGUAAAGCUAGGGGAGGCGAAUGGG